UUUCCUCUUAACAAUUUGUUUGAUGACUUACUUUCUGCAGGUUCUGAGUACCUAGGCAAUGACUUUCUUUUCACGGUCAACUAGGUUGUUGUUGAGGGACAGGAAAAGUAAGAUAGUGAAAGGGGGAUAAUGUCAGCGGACAUAUACAUUAGUUUUGAGGCAGCUGGUGGAAGUGGGAUAAAGAUAAUCAAUCAGCGUGAAUCAGCUAGCAGCAACCUGUUUAAACAAAAAGAAUUCCAUUUGAAGGAACUUAGUAUAGGUGGUCUGGGUACAGAGUUUGCAGAUAUAUUUCGAAGAGCUUUUGCCUCCAGGGUUUUCCCCUCCACAUGUUACUAGCAAAUUGGGAAUCAAACAUGUUAAAGGAAUGCUUCUUUUUGGGCCUCCUGGUACUGGCAAGACUCUGAUGGCACGUCAAAUAGGAAAGAUGUUGAAUGGAAAGGAUCCAAAGGAUCUCCCAACCAGCUUGUCCUUCUUAUUCUCGAAUGGAUCUGAAUCAGAUCAAACAUGUAGCUCGAGCUUCUGGAUUAGCCGCCAACUAGAAGCUAGCUGUUGGAUCUUCCACAAGCUAGUUGUUGCUGAUGCUGUCAGCUAGCUAGGUGUUGCUGCUGUCAGCUAGCUACUACUGCUGCUUUCAGCUAGGUGAUGCUCUGCUGCCUGCCAGCCAGAGAUGCUCUGAAGCCUGCUGCCACUAAAGCUCCAGCCAACAUCUGCGCUGAACUGGUUAUGAGAGAAGCAACAAGGCCUGUUGUUGUUGCUGAUAACCCCAACCUACUAAUCUUAAGAAGGUUCCUGCUGGAGUUAAUAGUAUAAACAACUAUUACUGUGUUGACGGUCAUAAGACUGGAAAUUUCAUCACGAUAACUCUUUAUUUGGCAACGAUGAAGUCUUACUUAUUUGGGGAAGCACAUGAAGUUAUCGACUUAUUAGUUAUUUCGUUGUUACAUUGUAGUAGUUGAUUAGUUGUUUAUCUUGCCAUUUGCAAAUUAUUAAACAACAUUUUGUUAAGUUUUUAAGACUAGACAAUUAUA